GGGUAGUGAUUUUCGUAAUACGUCACAAACUUCGAGAUCCUACGAGUUCGACUGGGACUCUGACACAGUCGGUCUCAGCCUGUCAGCCAUCACCUUCACGGCAUGGCUGGCACCUGUCUUCACAGACUUCCUGUCUGCUUACCUGGGAAACAAGGUCACCAUGACCUGCAUAAGUCUGGCAUCGGCCUUGACCACAGUCAUCUCCCCUCUGGCCGCAAGGUCCAGCCCGUACUUCCUCAUCGCCAUCAGGGCCUUGUCUGGACUUGUUAUGGGAGGGAAUAGCCCCAUUGUGUCUGACACGAUAGCGUGGUGGACCCCAGAACCGGAGAGGUUAACUGUGACAACUUUAACAUACUCAGGU